rnacentral:lncRNA from 1 species
GCCAGAAUGAAGGGAAUCUGUAUUACAGGAUGUUUUAUUAAUACUUAAUGGAAAGAGCCAAAAACCUUUUGCCACUUGGCAGUUGUGAAAUAAGCCUUUUUAGCCAAUGAUAAGAACAGGAUGCUAUGUAAAUUAACACUUUGCACAGAAUUAAUGUAAGAUUUUCAAUCAUAGAACUGGCUCAGUGAGCACAAUGCAUUGGUUGGCACUAGUUAAAUGGUGUUUUAUGCCAUUUUUUAAAUUAAAAAAAAACAGAAUUACAGGAAAGACAGAGUAGAUAAUAAAUGUUAUUGCAAGUUCUCUACACAGAUGUAAGGCCACUCUUACAGUUUGUCCAUCAAGAAUACUUAUCAAACACCCACUGGAUACUAAAUUUGAGCUGUGUGGAAGCCAUAGUUUCUACAGUUUCAUAAUGAACAUACAAAUUUGGGAAUGGCAAAGUCAUGUUGAUUGUGAUUCUAUACUGAAGGAUGUGAUGGUAUUAUUGGCCUUUGAGCUUUCUAUCAGACAAAGAAAAAUUUUUAAAAACUACAAAUAUUCACUCAGUUCCUACCAUAGGCACAGGCCUUACUAUGUACAGUGAGACAUACAAAGUUGAAUAAGAUCCAACUGCUAUUGUCAUAAGUGUCAUAAUCUAGUGCAGGAGACAGGGACAUACAUCAAUAACCCUUUUAUGAAGCUCAUAAAAAUCAAAUAUCAUAAUAGAAAUAAAAAACAUCAUUCUUUGGGGAUAUUUGAAACAGAGUGAUUCAUUCCAACAGGGAUAUAGUGAACAGAGAAGGCUCAUUAAAGAAAGUGGAAUCUGAAUGAGAGCCUUAAAAAGUAGGUAGUGCUUUGGAACAAUGUCUCCGUUCUAAGAAUAUCCAAACAGAAUGAGCAAACUAAGCAGGCUCUAGGAAUGGGAAACUAUGGGAAUAUUCCGGGAAGAAGGAACUGAAUGCUCUGUGAGAUCCUUUUGUUUAUUUUCCACAUCUUGCUGGCACAUUGUAAAAGCUCAAGAAAUGAGCACACUCAGGGCCUUUCGAGUUUGACUAAUUUCCAUGGCAAGAGCUCUGAGGAGUCAAGAGGCAGCAUGUCCUCUGGGAAGCCAGUGGAGUUCUCUUCAAGGAUGCUCAGUGAAAGACGAAAUAAAAAUAUGUGCAGUGCAUUGAAACUCACCAGGACCUUGCCAAACCAGAUCCAGCAACUUUCCACUUGAUUCUUGGAACUUAGAUUAUAUUGGGCUUUGGGGGCUUUCUGUUUCUUUGCCUAGAUUUCUUU